UACGGAGGGAGCAAGCGUUACUCGGAAUUAUUGGGCGUAAAGGGCGCGUAGGCGAUUUGGCAAGUCUUGUGUGAAAGCCCACAGCCUAACUGUGGAAGUGCACAAGAUACUGCUGAAUUUGAGUUCAGGAGAGGAAGGCAGAAUUCCCGGUGUAGCGGUGAAAUGCGUAGAUAUCGGGAGGAAUACCAGUGGCGAAGGCGGCCUUCUGGACUGACACUGACGCUGAGGCGCGAAAGCUAGGGGAGCAAACGGG
rnacentral:rRNA from 2 species